rnacentral:rRNA from 1 species
AGCCUAAUGAUAUAAUAUUAGGUUAAACCUGCCCACUGAUUAUAUUAAAGAGCCGCAGUACCUUGACUGUGCUAAGGUAGCAUAAUAAAUUGACUUUUAAUUGGGGCCUUGAAUGAAAGGAUAGUUGGGCAGUUUCUGUCUUAUAAUAAUUAAUUUAAAUUUACUUAAAAGGUGAAAAUUCCUUUAAAUUUUUAAUAGACGAGAAGACCCUAGGAGUUUUUAAUUUUGUUGGGGCGACAAUGUAGCAUUUAACCUACAUUUUAAUAUUUUAUAUAACGAGUAGUACUAAUAUUAACUAAACUACCCUAGGGAUAACAGCAUAAUUAUUAAUUAGUUUGUGACCUCGAUGUUGGACUAGGAACUUUUAAAGCUAACAGCGUUAAUUGAAAGUUCUGUUCGAACUUAUACACCU